CCUACGGGUGGCAGCAGUGGGGAAUAUUGCACAAUGGGGGGAACCCUGAUGCAGCGACGCCGCGUGAGUGAAGAAGUAUUUCGGUACGUAAAGCUCUAUCAGCAGGGAAGAAAAUGACGGUACCUGACUAAGAAGCCCCGGCUAACUACGGGCCAGCAGCCGCGGUAAUACGUAGGGGGCAAGCGUUAUCCGGAUUUACUGGGUGUAAAGGGAGCGUAGACGGCAGCGCAAGUCUGGAGUGAAAUCCCAUGGCUUAACCAUGGAACUGCUUUGGAAACUGGGCAGCUAGAGUGCAGGAGAGGUAAGCGGAAUUCGUAGUGUAGCGGUGAAAUGCGUAGAUAUUAGGAGGAACACCAGUGGCGAAGGCAGCUUACCAAACUAUAUCUGACGUUGAGGCACGAAAGCGUGGGUAGCAAACAGGAUUAGAUACCCUUGUAGUC
rnacentral:rRNA from 1 species